rnacentral:rRNA from 1 species
CGGACGGGUGAGUAACGCGUGGGCAACCUGCCCCAUACAGGGGGAUAACAGCCGGAAGCGGCUGCUAAAACCGCAUAAGCGCACAAGGGCCGCAUGGCCUGGUGUGAAAAACUCCAGUGGUAUGGGAUGGGCCCGCGUCUGAUUAGCUAGUUGGCGGGGGAGAGGCCCACCAAGGCGACGAUCAGUAGCCGACCUGAGAGGGUGGCCGGUCACAUUGGGACUGAGACACGGCCCAAACUCCUACGGGAGGCAGCAG